UAUAACUAAGCGGAGGAAAAGAAACUAACAAGGAUUUCCCCAGUAACGGCGAGUGAAGCGGGAAGAGCCCAGCACCGAAUCCCCCAGUGUCACGCUGGCGGGAACUGUGGUGUGUGGGACGCCACCAGUCGCGCGUGCGAGCACCGAAGUCCUCCUGAUCGAGGCUUCACCCAGAGCGGGUGUAAGGCCUUUGCUGGUGCUUCGCUGCGCGGCCGCGAGCGUCUCAGGAGUCGGGUUGUUUGGGAAUGCAGCCCAAAGUGGGUGGUAAACUCC
rnacentral:rRNA from 1 species